GAUGAACGCUGGCGGCGUGCCUAACACAUGCAAGUCGAACGAAAGUAAUUGAAAGCUUGCUUUUAGGUACUUUAGUGGCGGACGGGUGAAUAACGCGUAGGUGACUUGCCUCUUACAGGAGGGCAACCGAUGGACACGACUGCUAAUACCGCAAAACAUCAGACUAAGGCAUCUUGAUAUGGUCAAAGGAGAAAUCUGGUAAGAGAUAGAUCUGUGUCUGAAUAGCUAGUUGGUAAGGUAAAGGCUUACCAAGGCGACGAUCUGUAGCGGGUCUGAGAGGAAGAUCCGCCAAACUGGGACUGAGACACGGCCCAGACUCCUACGGGAGGCAGCAGUGGGGAAUAUUGGACAAUGGGGGGAACCCUGAUCCAGCCAUGCCGCGUGUGUGAAGAAGGCCUUAUGGUUGUAAAGCACUUUAAGCGAGGAGGAGGCUCUUUUGGUUAAUACCCAAGAUGAGUGGACGUUACUCGCAGAAUAAGCACCGGCUAACUCUGUGCCAGCGGCCGCCGUAA
rnacentral:rRNA from 1 species